rnacentral:rRNA from 1 species
GACGAACGCUGGCGGCGUGCUUAACACAUGCAAGUCGAACGGAAAGGCCCUGCUUUUGUGGGGUUCUCGAGUGGCGAACGGGUGAGUAACACGUGAGUAACCUGCCCUUGACUUUGGGAUAACUUCAGGAAACUGGGGCUAAUACCGGAUAGGAGCUCCUGCUGCAUGGGGGGGGUUGGAAAGUUUCGGCGGUUGGGGAUGGACUCGCGGCUUAUCAGCUUGUUGGGGGGGUAGUGGCUUACCAAGGCUUUGACGGGUAGCCGGCCUGAGAGGUUGACCGGCGACAUUGGGACUGAGAUACGGAGCAGACUCCUACGGGAGGCAGCAGUGGGGAAUAUUGCACAAUGGGCGGAAGCCUGAUGCAGCAACGCCGCGUGCGGGAUGACGGCCUUCGGGUUGUAAACCGCUUUCGCCUGUGACGAAGCGUGAGUGACGGUAAUGGGUAAAGAAGCACCGGCUAACUACGUG